rnacentral:rRNA from 1 species
AACGAACGCUGGCGGCAGGCUUAACACAUGCAAGUCGAACGCAUCCUUCGGGGUGAGUGGCAGACGGGUGAGUAACGCGUGGGAACGUGCCCUUCAGUUCGGGAUAACCCAGGGAAACUUGGGCUAAUACCGGAUACGUGCGAGAGCAGAAAGAUUUAUCGCUGAAGGAUCGGCCCGCGUCUGAUUAGCUAGUUGGUGGGGUAAUGGCCCACCAAGGCGACGAUCAGUAGCUGGUCUGAGAGGAUGAUCAGCCACAUUGGGACUGAGACACGGCCCAAACUCCUACGGGAGGCAGCAGUGGGGAAUAUUGGACAAUGGGCGCAAGCCUGAUCCAGCCAUACUGCGUGAGUGAUGAAGGCCUUAGGGUUGUAAAGCUCCUUCGUCCGGGACGAUAAUGACGGUACCGGAAGAAGAAGCCCCGGCUAACUUCGUGCCAGCCGCCGCAGUAA